GCGAUUAUAGCGCCACAAUACGGUGAAAUAAGGAAUACACUUCCUAUGAUUCUCGAACGUAAUCGAUAUUUCUCAUGAUCGACUUUUAAGCGGGAGAGCAGACCUUUAAUGGCGGAAAGAUCUGUAAAGAACACGUCGCACACAUUUGUAAAGAAGUAAGUGUGAGCCAAAAAAAUCAUCCAGAAAGAAGUCAUCCAGAAGUUCUCAGGAAACGCGCGAUUACAGCGCCACACCACGGCGAAAUAUGGAAUACACUUACGAUUCUGGAACGUCGAAUCGAUAUUUUUCACGAUCGAUUUUUAAGCGGGAGAGCAGACCUUUAAUGGCGGAAGGAAGCACACCUCAUCUGUGAUGAAGAAAUUGUUAUUCAGAAAAAUCAUCCAGAAAAGUGUCAACCAGAAGUUCUGAGGUUAUUCCUUGAUUGCAGAAAUACCAUGGAACGUAUAGAUGCUACGAUCAUUAAUGGACAAUUUGAUGAACUUGUAUGGAAAUCUGGCAACAUUUUAUUCAUUUUGUGUAACAUUUGGUAUACCAUUCAUAAUACUUAAUUUCAUUACAUAAUAAUUACUUCAUAAUACGUAAUUUCGUAA